GAUUCGGAGCGAGUGGCGAACUGGUGAGUAACACGUGGGCUAACCUGCCCCGAAGCGGGGGAUAACAUUUGGAAACAAGUGCUAAUACCGCAUAAUUAGUUGGAACCGCAUGGUUCCAACUUGAAAGAUGGCUCUGCUAUCACUUCGGGAUGGACCCGCGCCGUAUUAGUUAGUUGGUGAGAUAAAAGCCCACCAAGACGAUGAUACGUAGCCGACCUGAGAGGGUAAUCGGCCACAUUGGGACUGAGACACGGCCCAGACUCCUACGGGAGGCAGCAGUAGGGAAUCUUCCACAAUGGACGAAAGUCUGAUGGAGCAACGCCGCGUGAGUGAUGAAGGUUUUCGGAUCGUAAAACUCUGUUGUUAAAGAAGAACAAGUGUUAGAGUAACUGUUAACACUUUGACGGUAUUUAACCAGAAAGCCACGGCUAACUACGUGCCAGCAGCCGCGGUAAUACGUAGGUGGCAAGCGUUGUCCGGAUUUAUUGGGCGUAAAGCGAGCGCAGGCGGUUUUGUAAGUCUGCUGUGAAAGCCCUCAGCUCAACUGAGGAAGUGCAGUGGAAACUACAAAACUUGAGUACAGAAGAGGAAAGUGGAACUCCAUGUGUAGCGGUGAAAUGCGUAGAUAUAUGGAAGAACACCAGUGGCGAAGGCGGCUUUCUGGUCUGUUACUGACGCUGAGGCUCGAAAGCAUGGGUAGCGAACAGGAUUAGAUACCCUGGUAGUCCAUGCCGUAAACGAUGAAUACUAGGUGUUGGAGGGUUUCCGCCCUUCAGUGCCGCAGCUAACGCAUUAAGUAUUCCGCCUGGGGAGUACGACCGCAAGGUUGAAACUCAAAGGAAUUGACGGGGGCCCGCACAAGUGGUGGAGCAUGUGGUUUAAUUCGAUGCUACGCGAAGAACCUUACCAGCUCUUGACAUCUUCUGCCAACCCAAGAGAUUGGGCGUUCCCUUCGGGGACAGAAUGACAGGUGGUGCAUGGUUGUCGUCAGCUCGUGUCGUGAGAUGUUGGGUUAAGUCCCGCAACGAGCGCAACCCUUAUUAUUAGUUGCCAGCAUUUAGUUGGGCACUCUAGUGAG
rnacentral:rRNA from 2 species